rnacentral:rRNA from 1 species
CACGUAGUUAGCCGGUGCUUCUUAUCUAGGUACCGUCACAAAAAGCUUCGUCCCUAGCGAAAGGAGUUUACAACCCGAAGGCCGUCAUCCCCCACGCGGCGUCGCUGCAUCAGGCUCGCGCCCAUUGUGCAAUAUUCCCCACUGCUGCCUCCCGUAGGAGUCUGGGCCGUAUCUCAGUCCCAAUGUGGCCGUCCACCCUCUCAGGCCGGCUACCCGUCGCCGCCUUGGUAGGCCAUUACCCCACCAACAAGCUGAUAGGCCGCGAGCUCAUCCUACACCGAAAAAACUUUCCAACCAUCACACUAAAAAUGGCUCCUAUCCGGUAUUAGACCCAGUUUCCCAGGCUUAUCCCGAAGUGCAGGGCAGAUCACCCACGUGUUACUCACCCGUUCGCCACUCGAGUACCCUGCAAGCAGGGCCUUUCCGUUCGACUUGCAUGUGUUAAGCACGCCGCCAGCGUCGUCCUCGUGCACGGAGUCAACUAC